rnacentral:rRNA from 1 species
UACGUAGGGGACGAGCGUUGUCCGGAAUCAUUGGGCGUAAAGAGCGUGUAGGUGGCUUGGAAAGUCUUACGUGAAAGCCUGCGGCUCAACCGCAGAAGUGCGUGGGAAACUUCCUCGCUAGAGUCCGGAAGAGGAGAGCGGAAUUCCUGGUGUAGCGGUGGAAUGCGCAGAUAUCAGGAGGAACACCCGUGGCGAAGGCGGCUCUCUGGGACGGUACUGACACUGAGACGCGAAAGCGUGGGGAGCGAACAGG